GAGGAUGUAGCUCAGUGGUACAGCACCUGCCUAGCAAGCACAAGGCCCCGGGUUCAAUUCCCAGUACCCCG
rfam:Heterocephalus glaber contig215941, whole genome shotgun sequence.